rnacentral:rRNA from 1 species
AUUGAACGCUGGCGGCAGGCUUAACACAUGCAAGUCGAGCGGGGUGAUGGUGCUUGCACUAUCACUUAGCGGCGGACGGGUGAGUAAUGCUUAGGAAUCUGCCUAUUAGUGGGGGACAACAUCUCGAAAGGGAUGCUACUACCGCAUACGUCCUACGGGAGAAAGCAGGGGAUCACUUGUGACCUUGCGCUAAUAGAUGAGCCUAAGUCGGAUUAGCUAGUUGGUGGGGUAAAGGCCUACCAAGGCGACGAUCUGUAGCGGGUCUGAGGGGAUGAUCCGCCACACUGGGACUGAGACACGGCCCAGACUCCUACGGGAGGCAGCAGUGGGGAAUAUUGGACAAUGGGGGGAACCCUGAUCCAGCCAUGCCGCGUGUGUGAAGAAGGCCUUAUGGUUGUAAAGCACUUUAAGCGAGGAGGAGGCUCUUUUGGUUAAUACCCAAGAUGAGUGGACGUUACUCGCAGAAUAAGCACCGGCUAACUCUGUGCCAGCCGCCGCGGUAA